GAUGAACGCUGGCGGCGUGCCUAAUACAUGCAAGUCGAGCGAACAGAUGAGGAGCUUGCUCCUCUGACGUUAGCGGCGGACGGGUGAGUAACACGUGGAUAACCUACCUAUAAGACUGGGAUAACUUCGGGAAACCGGAGCUAAUACCGGAUAAUAUAUUGAACCGCAUGGUUCAAUAGUGAAAGACGGUUUUGCUGUCACUGAUAGAUGGAUCCGCGCCGCAUUAGCUAGUUGGUAAGGUAACGGCUUACCAAGGCAACGAUGCGUAGCCGACCUGAGAGGGGGAUCGGCCACACUGGAACUGAGACACGGUCCAGACUCCUACGGGAGGCAGCAGUAGGGAAUCUUCCGCAAAGGGCGAAAGCCUGACGGAGCAACGCCGCGUGAGUGAUGAAGGUCUUCGGAUCGUAAAACUCUGUUAUUAGGGAAGAACAAAUGUGUAAGUAACUAUGCACGUCUUGACGGUACCUAAUCAGAAAGCCACGGCUAACUACGUG
rnacentral:rRNA from 1 species